UCGCACAAGUCGUCGGAAAUCCGCCCGCUCAACGGGAGGCCGUCCACGGAACCUGUGUGGCUUGGGACCCGGGAGGCCUGAGGGGUACGAUCGGGGUAGGAGUGAAAUCCUGUAAUCCCGCUCGGACCGACGAUGGGGAAACCACCUCAGGAGAACGGAUCCGACAGUGAGGGACGAAAGCCAGGGUCUCGAACCGGACU
rnacentral:rRNA from 1 species